UACGGAGAGUGCAAGCGUUGUUCGGAAUUAUUGGGCGUAAAGCGCGUGUAGGUGGCUUGAUAAGUCUGAUGUGAAAGCCCAGGGCUCAACCCUGGAAGUGCAUUGGAAACUGUCGAGCUUGAGUACUGGAGGGGGAAGUGGAAUUCUCGAGUGUAGAGGUGAAAUUCGUAGAUAUUCGGAAGAACAUCAGUGGCGAAGGCGACUUCCUGGACAGAUACUGACACUGAGACGCGAAAGCGUGGGUAGCAAACAGG
rnacentral:rRNA from 1 species